UACGGAGGGUGCAAGCGUUAUCCGGAUUCACUGGGUUUAAAGGGUGCGUAGGCGGCUUGGUAAGUCCGUGGUGAAAUCUCCGAGCUUAACUCGGAAACUGCCAUGGAUACUAUUAGUCUUGAAUAUUGUGGAGGUUAGCGGAAUAUGUCAUGUAGCGGUGAAAUGCAUAGAUAUGACAUAGAACACCAAUUGCGAAGGCAGCUGGCUACACAAAUAUUGACGCUGAUGCACGAAAGCGUGGGGAUCAAACAGG
rnacentral:rRNA from 1 species